rnacentral:rRNA from 1 species
GACGUAGGGUCCAAGCGUUAUCCGGAUUUACUGGGCGUAAAGAGCGCGUAGGCGGUCCGUUAAGUGAGAAGUGAAAUCUUCAGGGCUCAACCCGAAAAUGGCUUUUCAUACUGGCGGACUGGAGGGAUGCAGAGGUAUGUGGAAUUCCUGGUGUAGCGGUGAAAUGCGUUGAUAUCAGGAGGAACACCCAUGGCGAAGGCAGCAUACUGGGCAUCAUCUGACGCUGAGGCGCGAAAGCGUGGGUAGCAAACAGG